rnacentral:rRNA from 1 species
UAAGCGGAGGAAAAGAAACCAACAGGGAUUGCCCUAGUAACGGCGAGUGAAGCGGCAACAGCUCAAAUUUGAAAUCUGGCUACAUCCCGUAGUCCGAGUUGUAAUUUGUAGAGGAUGCUUUUGGUGAGGUGCCUUCCGAGUUCCCUGGAACGGGACGCCAUAGAGGGUGAGAGCCCCGUACGGUUGGAUACCAAGCCUCUGUAUAGCUCCUUCAACGAGUCGAGUAGUUUGGGAAUGCUGCUCUAAAUGGGAGGUAUAUCUCUUCUAAAGCUAAAUAUAGGCUAGAGACCGAUAGCGCACAAGUAGAGUGAUCGAAAGAUGAAAAGCACUUUGAAAAGAGAGUUAAACAGCACGUGAAAUUGUUGAAAGGGAAGCGCCUAUGACCAGACUUGUUUCUGGCAGUUUCGUUAGCCCUCGGGCUGAUUUACUCUGUCCAGUACAGGCCAGCAUCAGUUUGCUGUCGGGGAGAAAGGCUCUGGGAACGUAGCUCCCCCCUUCUGGGGGGAGUGUUAUAGCCCUCUGCAUAAUACCCUUCGGCAGACUGAGGACCGCGCUUCGGCAAGGAUGCUGGCGUAAUGGUCAUCAGCGACCCGUCUUGAAACACGGACCAAGGAGUCAACCUUAUGUGCGAGUGUUUGGGUGUAAAACCCCAGCGCGUAAUGAAAGUGAACGUAGGUGAGAGCUUCGGCGCAUCAUCGACCGAUUCUGAUGUUUUCGGAUGGAUUUGAGUAAGAGCACACAGGGUUGGACCCGAAAGAAGGUGAACUAUGCUUGUAUAGGGUGAAGCCAGAGGAAACUCUGGUGGAGGCUCGCAGCGGUUCUGACGUGCAAAUCGAUCGUCAAAUAUGAGCAUGGGGGCGAAAG